UACGAAGGGGGCGAGCGUUGUUCGGAAUUACUGGGCGUAAAGGGCGCGCAGGCGGCGGCUCAAGUCAGGCGUGAAAGCCCCGGGCUCAACCUGGGAGGUGCGCUUGAGACUGAGUGGCUCGAGUUCGGGAGAGGAUGGUGGAAUUCCCAGUGUAGAGGUGAAAUUCGUAGAUAUUGGGAAGAACACCGGUGGCGAAGGCGGCCAUCUGGACCGAAACUGACGCUGAGGCGCGAAAGCGUGGGGAGCAAACAGG
rnacentral:misc_RNA from 1 species